AGUGGCGGACGGGUGAGUAACGCGUGAGAAUCUGCCUUGGGGUCGGGGACAACCACUGGAAACGGUGGCUAAUACCGGAUAAGCCGAUUGGUGAAAGAUUUAUUGCCCGAAGAGGAGCUCGCGUCUGAUUAGCUAGUUGGUGAGGUAAGAGCUCACCAAGGCAGCUAUCAGUAGCUGGUCUGAGAGGACGAUCAGCCACACUGGGACUGAGACACGGCCCAGACUCCUACGGGAGGCAGCAGUGGGGAAUUUUCCGCAAUGGGCGAAAGCCUGACGGAGCAAGACCGCGUGAGGGAGGAAGGCUCUUGGGUUGUAAACCUCUUUUCUCAGGGAAGAAGCUCUGACGGUACCUGAGGAAUCAGCCUCGGCUAACUCCGUGCCAGCAGCCGCGGUAAUACGGAGGAGGCAAGCGUUAUCCGGAAUUAUUGGGCGUAAAGCGUCCGCAGGUGGCAAUUCAAGUCUGCUGUCAAAGCACGGGGCUUAACUCCGUUAAGGCAGUGGAAACUGAAUAGCUAGAGUGCCGUAGGGGUAGAGGGAAUUCCCGGUGUAGCGGUGAAAUGCGUAGAGAUCGGGAAGAACAUCGGUGGCGAAAGCGCUCUACUGGACGGCAACUGACACUCAGGGACGAAAGCUAGGGGAGCGAAUGGGAUUAGAUACCCC
rnacentral:rRNA from 1 species